GGGGCUGACCAGGUUUCGACGUGGGUUACAAAGCAGUGCAGGGCAUACCGAGGCUCAGAUUACCUCGUAAAUACAGCUGAAACAAGUAUAGUCGCAAACGACGAAACUUACUCUCUAGCAGCUUAGUUCUGCU
rnacentral:tmRNA from 1 species